rnacentral:rRNA from 1 species
CCUACGGGGUGCUGCAGUGAGGAAUAUUGGUCAAUGGACGAGAGUCUGAACCAGCCAAGUAGCGUGAAGGAUGACUGCCCUAUGGGUUGUAAACUUCUUUUAUAUGGGAAUAAAAUGUUCCACGUGUGAGAUUUUGUAUGUACCAUAUGAAUAAGGAUCGGCUAACUCCGUGCCAGCAGCCGCGGUAAUACGGAGGAUCCGAGCGUUAUCCGGAUUUAUUGGGUUUAAAGGGAGCGUAGGUGGAUUGUUAAGUCAGUUGUGAAAGUUUGCGGCUCAACCGUAAAAUUGCAGUUGAAACUGGCAGUCUUGAGUACAGUAGAGGUGGGCGGAAUUCGUGGUGUAGCGGUGAAAUGCUUAGAUAUCACGAAGAACUCCGAUUGCGAAGGCAGUUCACUGGACUGCAACUGACACUGAGGCUCGAAAGUGUGGGUAUCAAACAGGAUUAGAUACCCGUGUAGUC